rnacentral:rRNA from 1 species
CCUACGGGAGGCAGCAGUGAGGAAUAUUGGUCAAUGGACGAGAGUCUGAACCCGCCAAGUAGCGUGCAGGAUGACUGCCCUAUGGGUUGUAAACUUCUUUUAUAAAGGAAUAAAACGAGGCACGUGUGCCUUUUUGCAUGUACUUUAUGAAUAAGGAUCGGCUAACUCCGUGCCAGCAGCCGCGGUAAUACGGAGGAUCCGAGCGUUAUCCGGAUUUAUUGGGUUUAAAGGGAGCGUAGAUGGGUUGUUAAGUCAGUUGUGAAAGUUUGCGGCUCAACCGUAAAAUUGCAAUUGAUACUGGCAGUCGUGAGUACAGUUGAGCUAGGCGGAAUUCGUGGUGUAGCGGUGAAAUGCUUAGAUAUCACGAAGAACCCCGAUUGCGAAGGCAGCUUACUAAACUGUGACUGACAUUGAUGCUCGAAAGUGUGGGUAUCAAACAGGAUUAGAUACCCCUGUAGUU